rnacentral:rRNA from 1 species
UACGUAGGGGGCGAGCGUUGUCCGGAUUUAUUGGGCGUAAAGAGCUCGUAGGCGGUUUGGUAAGUCGGAUGUGAAAUCUCCACGCUCAACGUGGAGGGGCCAUUCGGUACUGCCAUGACUAGAGUCCGGUAGAGGAAUGUGGAAUUCCCGGUGUAGCGGUGAAAUGCGCAGAGAUCGGGAGGAACACCCGUAGCGAAGGC